UAUGUAAAUCUAUCUACAUAUAUAUUUUUGGGGAAGAUUUGUGUCGAAAAAUCCUUUUUCAAUUUCGAUAUUGUAUGUUUAGUCCCUACAAAAUCAAUCAGACAAGAUUGUCUGCGUUAGGACAAUGACCAAAUUUUUGAUGAACUAUUUACGUUUUGCACUAAUUACUUACCUAAACAAAAA
rnacentral:sRNA from 1 species